rnacentral:rRNA from 1 species
CCGGCGAGGGGAGUGAAAAAGAACCUGAAACCGUGUACGUACAAGCAGUGGGAGCCUCUUUAUGGGGUGACUGCGUACCUUUUGUAUAAUGGGUCAGCGACUUAUAUUCUGUAGCAAGGUUAACCGAAUAGGGGAGCCGAAGGGAAACCGAGUCUUAACUGGGCGUUAAGUUGCAGGGUAUAGACCCGAAACCCGGUGAUCUAGCCAUGGGCAGGUUGAAGGUUGGGUAACACUAACUGGAGGACCGAACCGACUAAUGUUGAAAAAUUAGCGGAUGACUUGUGGCUGGGGGUGAAAGGCCAAUCAAACCGGGAGAUAGCUGGUUCUCCCCGAAAGCUAUUUAGGUAGCGCCUCGUGAAUUCAUCUCCGGGGGUAGAGCACUGUUUCGGCAAGGGGGUCAUCCCGACUUACCAACCCGAUGCAAACUGCGAAUACCGGAGAAUGUUAUCACGGGAGACACACGGCGGGUGCUAACGUCCGUCGUGAAGAGGGAAACAACCCAGACCGCCAGCUAAGGUCCCAAAGUCAUGGUUAAGUGGGAAACGAUGUGGGAAGGCCCAGACAGCCAGGAUGUUGGCUUAGAAGCAGCCAUCAUUUAAAGAAAGCGUAAUAGCUCACUGGUCGAGUCGGCCUGCGCGGAAGAUGUAACGGGGCUAAACCAUGCACCGAAGCUGCGGCAGCGACACUAUGUGUUGUUGGGUAGGGGAGCGUUCUGUAAGCCUGCGAAGGUGUACUGUGAGGUAUGCUGGAGGUAUCAGAAGUGCGAAUGCUGACAUAAGUAACGAUAAAGCGGGUGAAAAGCCCGCUCGCCGGAAGACCAAGGGUUCCUGUCCAACGUUAAUCGGGGCAGGGUGAGUCGACCCCUAAGGCGAGGCCGAAAGGCGUAGUCGAUGGGAAACAGGUUAAUAUUCCUGUACUUGGUGUUACUGCGAAGGGGGGACGGAGAAGGCUAUGUUGGCCGGGCGACGGUUGUCCCGGUUUAAGCGUGUAGGCUGGUUUUCCAGGCAAAUCCGGAAAAUCAAGGCUGAGGCGUGAUGACGAGGCACUACGGUGCUGAAGCAACAAAUGCCCUGCUUCCAGGAAAAGCCUCUAAGCAUCAGGUAACAUCAAAUCGUACCCCAAACCGACACAGGUGGUCAGGUAGAGAAUACCAAGGCGCUUGAGAGAACUCGGGUGAAGGAACUAGGCAAAAUGGUGCCGUAACUUCGGGAGAAGGCACGCUGAUAUGUAGGUGAAGCGACUUGCUCGUGGAGCUGAAAUCAGUC